rnacentral:lncRNA from 1 species
CGGAGGAUCAUCUGGCUUGGGACUGGGCAGCAGAUUGGGGGUGAUAGGGAGAUGUCUCCAAGUCGGUCUCUAAGUAGGAUGUUUGUAGGUAGAGGGAAAAGGGCACGCGGUGACCCAGUAGAGGGUUCAGAUUGAGUUCCAGUGCGUUCUGAAGAUAAGGAGGGGAACAGGGCCCAGGAGGCCACACUGGAGAGGCUGAGGGUGGCCGUCACUGCGUCCCAAGGAACACCAGGGCCCAACCUGGGUCUUUGUCUGUCCGUCUCUGCCACCCUUCCUCCCGGGCCUGGGAUCUCAUGCAGGAAGUAUCAAGCACUCUGGGCCCAGACCAGCUCUUCCAAGGGAGCGUCAGGGUCCAUCUGGUCCAGUUUGGCCCCCACGGCGUCUUCGGCUUCAUCAUCCCCAGAGCAGAUGUGCUCAGCUCCUUUCUUCUCGACCGCUCGGCCAGCCACUACCCUGUGUACCAGAAGCAGCAUCUGUUCAACAGCAACCCCCACUGGGACUCCGGGGCCUUCCGCAGACUCAGCCACCUGGUGCGAGAGACACACCUCAACUUCUCAAAGUAACACAGCUGAGCUCCCUGGAGUUUGGGAGGUGGGAAGGGAAGGGGUGAGGUUGCUCCAUGUGGCUCACAGCCUCUCCCUGGACGGGCCAAUAGGAGAACACAGGAGACUGCAGACCAUACAGGUGGCCAGGCCAGAGCCCAGGGGCAGGAGAGGCCUCCUG